rnacentral:tRNA from 1 species
GCGAGAGUGGCGGAAAUGGUAGACGCGCUAGACUUAGGAUCUAGUGUCCUUUGGACGUGGGGGUUCAAGUCCCCCCUCUCGCA